GUAGGGUCCGAGCGUUGUCCGGAGUUACUGGGCGUAAAGCGCGCGCAGGCGGCGGCGUGGGCUCGGCGUGAAAGCCCCCGGCUCAACCGGGGAAGGUCGUCGAGGACCGCGCCGCUUGAGGGCGGUAGGGGCUGGUGGAAUGCCUGGUGUAGUGGUGAAAUGCGUAGGGAUCAGGCGGAACACCCGUGGCGAAGGCGGCCAGCUGGGCCGUCCCUGACGCUGAGGCGCGAAGGCGUGGGGAGCGAACGGGAUUAGAUACCCCGGUAGUCCACGCAGUAAACGAUGCCGACUAGGCGUGGGGGGAGUUGACCCCCUCCGUGCCGGAGCCAACGCGGGAAGUCGGCCGCCUGGGGAGUACGGCCGCAAGGCUA
rnacentral:rRNA from 1 species